AUGGAUUCUAGAGCCCUAACGGAUGCAGAAUAUGAGUUGCGCAGGACGCUGAAGAGGAAACUGCUUGGGCUCUGUUCGCUACAGCGAUCUAUCGCCCGUCAGCGCUCUAGGCUCUUGCAACUUAAGGAAGGGGAAGCCAACACCGCCUUCUUUCACCGGCAAGCUAGUCAUAGGCAUAGGAAGGGACAUGUACACACAGGCCAUGAGAACAUUGCGCAAGCGGUGGAUUCAUAUUAUGGAAAACUGUUGGGGUCAGCCGUGGAGAGGAGCUGCACUUUAAAUCUGGAGGUGUUAGGGCUGCCGUGGAGAGACCUGACACAUAUGGACGCGUCGUUCUCUGCCCAUGAGGUCGAGAAGGUGAUCAAAGCAAUGCCUUUGGACAAGGCACCAGGGCCCGAUGGGUUCACAAGACGCUUUUACGCAACAUGCCGGACAAUUAUCAGGGACGAUUUCAUGAGAGCACUUGAAGAAUUCCAUUGUGGAGACAUGAGGGGGAUGCAGGCAAUCAAUAGAGCCACGACAUCUCUCUUGCCGAAGAAGGUGGGAGCGGUGGACAUCAAAGACUUCAGGCCAGUUAGUCUAAACCAUGGAGUGGUCAAUUUUUUUGACAAGAUACUGGACACCUGCCUCGCAGACGACCUGCCGCUCGUAGUGUGCAAUCACCAAAUUGCGUUUGUGUGGGGAAGAUCCUUACAUGACAACUUCAUGUUAGUACAAGGGACGACACGCAGAUUACACGCUCUCAAGGACCCCCACGGUCCUUGUCAAGCUAGACAUAUCUAA
rnacentral:rRNA from 1 species